rnacentral:lncRNA from 1 species
GGUUCCUCUCGGAGCGGAGACGGCAAAUGGCGGACUUCGACACCUACGACGAUCAGGCCUACAGCAGCUUCGGCAGCGGCAGAGGGUCCCGCGGCAGUGCUGGUGGCCAUGGUUCCCGUAGCCAGAAGGAGUUGCCCACAGAGCCCCCCUACACAGCAUACGUAGGAAAUCUACCUUUCAAUACGGUUCGGGGCGACAUAGAUGCUAUCUUUAAGGAUCUCAGCAUAAGGAGUGUACGGCUAGUCAGAGACAAAGACACAGAUAAAUUUAAAGGAUUCUGCUAUGUAGAAUUCGAUGAAGUGGAUUCCCUUAAGGAAGCCUUGACAUACGAUGGUGCACUGUUGGGCGAUCGGUCACUUCGUGUGGACAUUGCAGAAGGCAGAAAACAAGAUAAAGGUGGCUUUGGAUUCAGAAAAGGUGGACCAGAUGACAGAGGCUUCAGGGAUGACUUCUUAGGGGGCAGGGGAGGUAGUCGCCCAGGCGACCGGCGAACAGGCCCCCCCAUGGGCAGCCGCUUCGGAGAUGGCCCUCCCCUCGGUGGAUCCAACAUGGAUUUCAGAGAACCCACAGAAGAGGAAAGCGCACAGAGACCACGACUCCAGCUUAAACCUCGAACAGUCGCGACGCCCCUCAAUCAAGUAGCCAAUCCCAACUCUGCUAUCUUCGGGGGUGCCAGGCCUAGAGAGGAAGUUGUUCAAAAGGAGCAAAAAUGAGCCUGCGGUUGGGAGGGAAUGGGGCGUGGGGGGUUAGAGCAGGACCACAGCCUGGUGAGUCCCCGGGCAGCCGUCCUGCAGCCGCCACUCCUGCGCCUGCCAUUGGCCUCCUCACAGCGGAAACACAGCUUGUGAGUGCAUGUCAGCUGUUAACAAGUGGUUUUUAGUACAUUCUGGGCUUUGCUGUAUCUAUCUAGUGCCUGUUUGUGCGUUUUUUUCUUUCUUCCGCUGCUUCCCCAUUUUCCUUCUGUCCUUUUUCUCCUGCUCCUUGUUUUCCCAGCAGCACACGGGGUUCCUCGGAGGAGCAGAGGUGGCCGCCGUGGGGGGGCGUUUGGGCUGCGGUGCUGCGUCAUUUUUCCUUUGCUUUCUCUUUACUUUAGACACUGGCCCAACUCCAGGAGUUUCCUUUCAUUCCCUCAGUGCUUCUCUUCUGACCUGCAUGUUGAGUUCUGUAUUGCUGGGGCUUCCAACAAAAACCAGAGUCACUGACAGAGGGAACUGCAGAGACCUUGUUGGUAUUCAGCUGUGAUGGAUAUAGAGAAUCGGAGGCACCUUGUUUUCACAACUAGGAUAAAAAUAUCUGCAGGGUCCUUUCCAUUCCUAUUUAGAGGGAGUCCUGGCUCCAUGACCCCCUCCCGAGUGGACUGUCCAAGCAGAUAGGCUCACACGAGAAACAGUGAGGCUGAAAGGGGGGGCCAUGGAAGAGCGGUAGGGAGUCCACGGAGAAGAUGCAGUGAAUGCUUGCAUGCAUUCACACGUGUGUGUGUCCCAGCUAGUUCACUCCUUUCGCCGUGCGUGGUGGAGGCUCGCCUCUCUGGCCGGGUGCAGUGAACGGCCAGCGGGUUUCUUUUCUGCUGGGCCAAGGCGCUUUGGGGGUGGAGGGGGUGGUGCUGGCGCUGCACUGGGCUGACUGCGGCGCUGACACAGCGUUUCCCCCCAUCCCUGUUGCCUGUGUGUUGUGUGGAUCUGUUCCUAGUAUAGGCAACAUAAUGAGAUACUGUGCUUCCCACCUCCCCUUCAGUUCAGAGCCAAAAUGGGUCUAGAAUCUGGCACUUUACUCAUUUCCUUUGAUAAAUUGUACUGUGCAGAGCUGUCAGGAACCUUCAGAUAGCAGUAGAGGACUGCAGCUGCCUAGGUCUGCGGCCACAUCUUGGGGACACACUGGAUUGUUCCCAUGUGCAGGGUUCAGCACUUACGUGGGAGUGCUAGGGGUUAGGCUUUUGAGCUUGAACGCCUGCGUGUGAACAGAUGAAAAAUCCUUCAGUACCCAACGGAAUGUGCUUAGUAUUUGGUCACCAGCCGUCAUCCUGGGCUUUUCCUACUGUGUCUUGUUACAAGGCCUCAGCAAUCCACAGAACUCUCUCUCCUUCCUUCCACCUGUCAGCUUCUCUGCUUCUGAGAUAAGAACCAUUUGUGUAACACCAACACUUAACUUCAGAAAGACAUGCAUUAUGUGGUGUAAUCAAACCCGAGGCUUUCAGAUGACCUACUUACAUCUUCAAUGUGGAUAAGAUAAAGAACAAAACACAUGCAUCUAAACUGCUGGGCAAUCCAGUUGACUUUUAAAUGUAAGAAUGGAAUUCCAAACACUUAACACAUUCAGCUAUAUGACAGAAAGUAAAUCUAUGGAUAUGGUAUUUUGUGAAUGAUCUUUUAAAUAAAAGAAAACCUUACGUAAUAUUUAAAAAAAAUAAA